rnacentral:tRNA from 1 species
CGGGCAGUAGCGCAGCCUGGUAGCGCACUUCGUUCGGGACGAAGGGGUCGGAGGUUCAAAUCCUCUCUGCCCGACCA